AUUGAACGCUGGCGGCAUGCCUAACACAUGCAAGUCGAACGAGUGGCGGACGGGUGAGUAACGUCGGGGAAACUGCCUGAUGGAGGGGGAUAACUACGGGAAACGGUAGCUAAUACCGCAUACCAUCAGAUGUGCCCAGAUGGGAUUAGCUUGUUGGUGGGGUAACGGCGCACCAAGGCGACGAUCCCUAGCUGGCCUGAGAGGGUGACCAGCCACAUUGGAACUGAGACACGGUCCAAACUGCUACGGGAGGCAGCAGUAGGGAAUAUUGCACAAUGGGCGCAAGCCUGAUGCAGCCAUGCCGCGUGUAUGAAGAAGGCCUUCGGGUUGUAAAGUACUUUCAGCGGGGAAGCGUUACCCACAGAAGAAGCACCGGCUAACUACGUGCCAGCAGCCGCGGUAAUAC
rnacentral:rRNA from 1 species